UUUGUUUGUUAGCAUAUUCUUGAAAAUGAUGACCAAAGCGAAGCGGCUGGUGAACCCUAAUUAGUUGUCGGUGUUUGUUGGCAGAGCUCGUCUCUGUUUUCUUCGUCAUCUCCCAUCCCCGACCAGAGAUGCGCCUAACACACUAAAGCUUUCGACUUUCCGACACCCUCUCAGGUUUUUCCUGCCCAUUACAUAGUGCAACUUGAAUUGGAUGCACAUGUUAGCGAAAGCACAUAGUAAGGGGGACGGAACCAAGUCCCUGGCUAAGAUACUGGCGAAAUGGAAAGAAUAUAAUGCCCAGCUUGAUUCCUGUGAUGAUGCGGAUAAACCAGUUCGCAAAGUUCCUGCCAAGGGAUCAAAAAAAGGGUGUAUGAAAGGUAAAGGUGGGCCUGAGAACUCGCGGUGUAAUUACAGAGGUGUUAGGCAGAGGACUUGGGGAAAGUGGGUUGCUGAAAUCAGAGAGCCGAACAGAGGGAAUAGGCUCUGGCUAGGUACUUUUCCCACUGCCAUUGGAGCUGCCCUUGCAUAUGAUGAAGCAGCGAGGGCAAUGUAUGGAUCCUGUGCCCGUCUUAACUUUCCCAAUGUUUCAGUUUCCAGUUUCUCUGAGGAAUCCUCCAAAGAUUCUCCAUUGGCGAAUCAUUCUGGUUCCUCAAUGGCUGUGUCUGCAAAUGAAUCCAUGGUUUCACUUAGUAACUCUAAGGGGGGAGGAGCAGAAGAGGAUGUUGAUAUGGAGCCCAUUUCCUUAUCCUUAAGUGUAAAACACGAGAACGGUGAAGGUGAAUCAGGGAUAAGUUCAUCCCCUCCUUCUUCUUCAUAGUGUACAUUUGAACAUGGCUAAAAUUCUUAGCUAAUGUACUUGUUAAUGGUAGCUUAGGUUUAAUGAAUCCUGAUAUGUGGUCCCUGGAGAUUAGCUGCCGUAAAACUAAAAUGAACUUUGUUGCAAAAUGGUCAUUCUUCUGAUCUUGGCCUAAUGUGCUCAGGAUAGAAUAGUGUAUGGUGACUCUCUCCACAAAGCAGAUGGGAACAAAGCAUGAAGUAUUUGAGUUUGAGAUGGAUUUGCCGCAAUUUCAAACCAACAUGGAUGGGAAACUCAAUCUUUUCUAUAUAAUAAAAUCAUAUCGGAUUAACAAAAAAGACGACAUUCUCAAGAGCAGAGAAUAGGAAGAUUCAUAACCAUAAUUAUGUCAAAGUUUUGAAGUUUUUGCUUUUCUAGAAAUAUUUGUUGUGCUGUUUCCUGUGACCUUCUGCCCGCAAUCCCAUAAUGCUAGCUGUACUGAGUAUCUCUUCUUUCCA